rnacentral:lncRNA from 1 species
AUGCCCAGUGGCCGGCACUUGGGGGCGCUCACUACUCUGGAGGGACCUCCGGCAAGUUCGCCUCGCUGCGAGGCGGGAGCUCGCCACCCGAGAGCGGAGUUCGAGUCCUGCCGCCCCCGCGAGUGGACACCGCACGCCCACCGGCGGCUCCAGGCCGGCCCCGGAGACGGGGACUCCAGUGCUGCGGGCGCCGAGCACCCCCUUCCCAGGGUCGGGGGCCCGGCGGGGGAAACGCCCUCUGGCUGUGGGAACGGGGUCCCCGCGGCGGGUGCGGAGGCCCGAGUGGGGGUGCGGACGGGGGCCGCAGCGGGAGGGGAGGAGGCGGGGAGCCCGGCGGGCGCCCGGUCCUCGAGCGCCGCCGAGUCCGCGGGGCGCGCUCUUCGGCGCGCGGCCGGUGUGCAGAGCGCGCCCCCGGGUCGCUGCGGGCGCCGCCGCGGGCUCAGCAGGUGCAGGUGCUCUCCCGGGGCUGCGGGAGAACUCUCCCAACUCUCCGAGGGCGCCGUCCGGGGGCGCGGCCAACUGCGCCCGGGCGCCUGCCACGUCCCCGGCCACGCGCGCGGCCCGCCGCGUUCUGCAGGGCGCGGGCGCGCGUGGGGGCGGGCCUCGGGGCGCGCGAGACACCGCGGGGAGAGCGCGGCCGCGGGAGCGGGAGGAGGUGCCCCGGCCCCGCCCCCGGCCCCGGCUCCGUCCCGCCCGGAGGACUGGCCGCGCGACUCCGCCCCCGGGCCCCGGCCCCGCCCCCAGGCCCCGGCCCCGCCCCCAGGCCCCGCCCCCGGCUCCGCCCCAGACCCCGACCCCGACCCGCCCGGGGGACUGGCCCGCACGACUCCGCCCCCGGGCCCCGGCCCCGCCCCCAGGCCCCGCCUCAAGCCCCGCCCCCGCCUCCAGCCCCGCCCCUUCCCAGGCCCGGCUCCGCCCCCGACCCCGCCCCGCCCCGGGGACUGGCCCGCGCGACUCCGCCCUCGGCCGCCCGGGCUUUCACUUUCGCUUUCUUGCGGGCGGCCCCAGACCCUAUCCGCGGAGGGACCGAGACGGACGCCAGCCCCGCCGCCCGCCGCCCGCCGCUGCGGACACGGUAACCUCGCGGCCCCCCUCGCGCCGAGUCCGGGGAGAGGGCCCGGCCCAGCUCGCUCCGCUCCGCCCAGCCCAGCCCAGCCCAGCCCAGCCGGCCCUCGGUUCCCUGCUGGCCGCGGGCCGGGACAGCCCUGCAGCUCGGCUUUUGGGAAAGGGGGCGUGGAGGGAGCCGGGAGGGAGGGGGUGGCGGUCUCGCCCGGCUGA